rnacentral:lncRNA from 1 species
UAUUAUUAUUAUUAUUAUUAUUAUUCGUUGUUGUUUGGUUUCUACACGUUAAUUAUUUGUGUUACUGUUAUUAUUAUAGAGCUAUCUAUCAUUUUGUGUAUUAAUUUUGUGUGGUCUUUGACUUUUUUGGCCAUCUUUUUGAUGAAUUUUCUAUAUUAUAUUUAUUAUUUCAUUUUAUUAACCCCUCUGUUGAUUCCCUUUGUGAUAUUUGUCGGUUUAAUAUGAUGUUGUUUUGCAAUUUGGGAGAUGAAAUUGAACUUUUCCAUGGCUACUCUAUAUUUUAUUAUUCCAUCAUUAUUCUUUGUUCCAAUUAUGGUUAUAUAAUGAUAGCAUGAUACUAGUUAUUUACCAUUGUUUAUAUUUUUAUUUUUUAUUGAUUUACUCCAUUAUGAUUAGAUUAUUUAUUAUUUGUUUACUUGGGUAUUGUUCUUCUUUAGUUCCAAUUGUUGUUAUUCUAAUAAUUUAAUCGUAAUUCACUUGAUAUUUUAUAUAUGUUACAAGUUAAAUUGGCCAAUGGAAAAAUCUCUCCGUCGGUUUUGGAGGCCUUCACAUUUUAAAGACGGAAAUUUAGUUUAAGUUUAUAUAAGUUUUAUAUUAAAAUUGGCCAAUAAAAAAUCUCUCCGUCGAUUUUGGAGGCCUCCACAUUUUAAUAGACGAAAAUUUUAGUUUAAGUUUAUAUAAAUUUUAUGUUAAAAUUGGCCAAUGAAAAAAUCUCUCCGUCGAUUUUGGAGGUCUUCCCAUCUUAAAAGACGAAAAUUUAGUUUAGGUUUAAAUAUUUUAUUUGUUAAAAUUGGCCAAUGAAAAAUCUCUCCGUCGGUUUUGGAGGCCUUCACAUUUUAAAGACGGAAAUUUAGUUUAAGUUUAUAUUUUUUGUAAGUUAAAAUGGCCGAUAAAGAAAUUACCGUCGAUUUCCAAGGCCUUCCAUGAUAGUAAGACGGAUUUUUAUUUUAAGUUGUUAUUUAUUUUUAUUUACUAUUAACACUUUUACUAAGUGUGUUUACAGGUACCUCGGAGAUGCUUCCCGUUGAAGCUAUUCGAACUAGGUUCGAAUUAUACUCUUAUUCAUUAUUGUAUAUUAUUGACGAUAGGCAAAUUUAGGUCGAUUCUUAUAUUAUUGUUUUAUCAUAUUACUUGUGUAUAUUACAUGCUUAUUAUACUUGUACAAUAUUUUAUCCUACUCCUCAAUUUGAAAUAAUGAAUUCAGUCGGGACCCACAGUUGUGGAUUUCGAAGGAUGCCUAACACCUUUCCUUCGAAAUAAUUUGAACCCCUUACCUAGAAUCUAAUGGUUUCGUAGAUCACUUAAUGGUUUCCUAGUUUUUUCCUAAAAUUAGGUGACGACUCUUUUAAAAUUCUUAUUUUUCUUUAAAUUCUUUUAAAAUUAAAUUAAUUGAUUAUUUUUU